rnacentral:rRNA from 1 species
CCUACGGGGGGCUGCAGUGGGGAAUAUUGGACAAUGGGGGGAACCCUGAUCCAGCCAUGCCGCGUGUGUGAAGAAGGCCCUCGGGUUGUAAAGCACUUUCAGUGAGGAAGAACGCCUGGUGGUUAAUACCCAUCAGGAAAGACAUCACUCACAGAAGAAGCACCGGCUAACUCCGUGCCAGCAGCCGCGGUAAUACGGAGGGUGCGAGCGUUAAUCGGAAUUACUGGGCGUAAAGCGCGCGUAGGUGGCUGGAUAAGCCGGUUGUGAAAGCCCCGGGCUCAACCUGGGAACGGCAUCCGGAACUGUCAAGCUAGAGUGCAGGAGAGGAAGGUAGAAUUCCCGGUGUAGCGGUGAAAUGCGUAGAGAUCGGGAGGAAUACCAGUGGCGAAGGCGGCCUUCUGGACUGACACUGACACUGAGGUGCGAAAGCGUGGGUAGCAAACAGGAUUAGAUACCCCAGUAGUC